rnacentral:rRNA from 1 species
GAUCCUGGCUCAGGAUGAACGCUGGCGGCGCGCCUAACACAUGCAAGUCGAACGAGCGAGAGAGAGCUUGCUUUCUUGAGCGAGUGGCGAACGGGUGAGUAACGCGUGAGGAACCUGCCUCAAAGAGGGGGACAACAGUUGGAAACGACUGCUAAUACCGCAUAAGCCCACGACCCGGCAUCGGGUAGAGGGAAAAGGAGCAAUCCGCUUUGAGAUGGCCUCGCGUCCGAUUAGCUAGUUGGUGAGGUAACGGCCCACCAAGGCGACGAUCGGUAGCCGGACUGAGAGGUUGAACGGCCACAUUGGGACUGAGACACGGCCCAGACUCCUACGGGAGGCAGCAGUGGGGAAUAUUGCACAAUGGGGGAAACCCUGAUGCAGCGACGCCGCGUGGAGGAAGAAGGUUUUCGGAUUGUAAACUCCUGUCGUUAGGGACGAUAAUGACGGUACCUAACAAGAAAGCACCGGCUAACUACGUGCCAGCAGCCGCGGUAAAACGUAGGGUGCAAGCGUUGUCCGGAAUUACUGGGUGUAAAGGGAGCGCAGGCGGGAAGACAAGUUGGAAGUGAAAUCCAUGGGCUCAACCCAUGAACUGCUUUCAAAACUGUUUUUCUUGAGUAGUGCAGAGGUAGGCGGAAUUCCCGGUGUAGCGGUGGAAUGCGUAGAUAUCGGGAGGAACACCAGUGGCGAAGGCGGCCUACUGGGCACCAACUGACGCUGAGGCUCGAAAGUGUGGGUAGCAAACAGGAUUAGAUACCCUGGUAGUCCACACCGUAAACGAUGAUUACUAGGUGUUGGAGGAUUGACCCCUUCAGUGCCGCAGUUAACACAAUAAGUAAUCCACCUGGGGAGUACGACCGCAAGGUUGAAACUCAAAGGAAUUGACGGGGGCCCGCACAAGCAGUGGAGUAUGUGGUUUAAUUCGAAGCAACGCGAAGAACCUUACCAGGUCUUGACAUCCGAUGCAUAGCACAGAGAUGUGUGAAAUCCUUCGGGACAUCGAGACAG